rnacentral:rRNA from 1 species
AUUGAACGCUGGCGGCAUGCCUUACACAUGCAAGUCGAACGGCAGCACGGGUGCUUGCACCUGGUGGCGAGUGGCGAACGGGUGAGUAAUACAUCGGAACGUACCUUAUCGUGGGGGAUAACGCAGCGAAAGCUGUGCUAAUACCGCAUACGCCAUGAGGGGGAAAGCGGGGGAUCGCAAGACCUCGCGCGAUUAGAGCGGCCGAUGCCUGAUUAGCUUGUUGGUGGGGUAAAAGCCCACCAAGGCGACGAUCAGUAGCUGGUCUGAGAGGACGAUCAGCCUCACUGGGACUGAGACACGGCCCAGACUCCUACGGGAGGCAGCAGUGGGGAAUUUUGGACAAUGGGGGCGACCCUGAUCCAGCAAUGCCGCGUGAGUGAAGAAGGCCUUCGGGUUGUAAAGCUCUUUUGUCAGGGAAGAAACACCGGCUCUAACACAGUCCGGGAAUGACGGUACCUGAAGAAUAAGCACCGGCUAACUACGUGACAGCCGCCGCAGUAA